rnacentral:lncRNA from 1 species
UUUGUAAUCAUAUAAGCAACACGACGGGUGCCACAUGUGGAGCAGGAUCUGCUUACCCUUCCGGAGCACCUGAGAUCACCCCUAGUUUUUGAUGGGGUUCGUGUUGUUUAUUCUUUAGUUUUCUAUGUUGUGUCAUGUGUACUAUUGUUUUUCUGUUUGUCUUUUUCAUUUUUAGCCAUGGCGUUGUCAGUUUGUUUUAGAUUUAUGAGUUUGACUGUCCCUUUGGUAUCUUUCGUCCCUCUUUUGAUAGAUCCGCAUGGUGGUGGAAACAAAUGCAAACUUGAAAAAAAUCACUGUAAUAUUGUUUAUAUAUUCAACUUUAAGUUGGGGGAAUGUAGCGGAAUGUGUUUUUAAAUAUUCAAAAUUUUGUGUAGGAUGGCUCAUUUCUAUUUUCAAUUUGGUUUUAAGGUUAUUAUUGUGCUUUCAUGUUCGUAAAUAGCUGAAAGAUUUUCUACAUUUCCAACAUUCACUUGGGAAGCUUGUCUACUUUGAUACCACACAGCUGAGAGAUAAUGAAAUAUUAGCCCACUAACUGAAAUAUUUUCUACAAUUCCAACAUUCUCUUGGGAAGAUUGUCUACUUUGAUAACACACAGCUGAGAGAUUAUGAAAUACCAGCGCUCUAACUAAAUGAUUUUCUAAAUUUCC